rnacentral:rRNA from 1 species
GAUGAACGCUGGCGGCGUGCCUAAUACAUGCAAGUCGAGCGAACAGACGAGGAGCUUGCUCCUCUGACGUUAGCGGCGGACGGGUGAGUAACACGUGGAUAACCUACCUAUAAGACUGGGAUAACUUCGGGAAACCGGAGCUAACACCGGAUAACAUGUUGAACCGCAUGGUUUAACAGUGAAAGACGGUCUUGCUGUCACUUAUAGAUGGAUCCGCGCCGCAUUAGCUAGUUGGUAAGGUAACGGCUUACCAAGGCAACGAUGCGUAGCCGACCUGAGAGGGUGAUCGGCCACACUGGAACUGAGACACGGUCCAGACUCCUACGGGAGGCAGCAGUAGGGAAUCUUCCGCAAUGGGCGAAAGCCUGACGGAGCAACGCCGCGUGAGUGAAGAAGGUCUUCGGAUCGUAAAACUCUGUUAUUAGGGAAGAACAAAUGUGUAAGUAACUAUGCACGUCUUGACGGUACCUAAUCAGAAAGCCACGGCUAACUACGUG